UGACCCCAGGAUCCAGGGCAUGGUCAUAC
rnacentral:piRNA from 1 species